UACGGAGGGUGCGAGCGUUGUCCGGAAUCACUGGGCGUAAAGGGCGCGUAGGUGGCCGAGCAAGGUCGCGGUGAAAGCCCGGGGCUCAACCCCGGGUCGGCCGUGGCAACUACUGGGCUGGAGCACUGUAGGGGCAGAUGGAAUUCCGGGUGUAGCGGUGGAAUGCGUAGAGAUCCGGAAGAACACCGGUGGCGAAGGCGGUCUGCUGGGCAGUUGCUGACACUGAGGCGCGACAGCGUGGGGAGCAAACGGG
rnacentral:rRNA from 1 species